CCAGACUCCUACGGGAGGCAGCAGUGGGGAAUAUUGGGCAAUGGGCGCAAGCCUGACCCAGCAACGCCGCGUGAAGGAAGAAGGCUUUCGGGUUGUAAACUUCUUUUAAGAGGGAAGAGCAGAAGACGGUACCUCUUGAAUAAGCCACGGCUAACUACGUGCCAGCAGCCGCGGUAAUACGUAGGUGGCAAGCGUUGUCCGGAAUUACUGGGUGUAAAGGGAGCGUAGGCGGGAAAGCAAGUUGAAUGUUUAAGGUACGGGCUCAACCUGUACAAGCGUUCAAAACUGUUUUUCUUGAGUGGAGUAGAGGUAAGCGGAAUUCCUAGUGUAGCGGUGAAAUGCGUAAAUAUUAGGAGGAACACCAGUGGCGAAGGCGGCUUACUGGGCUUUAACUGACGCUGAGGCUCGAAAGCGUGGGUAGCAAACAGGAUUAGAUACCCUAGUACC
rnacentral:rRNA from 1 species